rnacentral:rRNA from 1 species
GUUAGUACGCCGAUCUUACAAGCGAUUGUAGGAGCACAUCUGAGGCCGGGAUCGCUGCCGUUAAGGCAGAGGAAGGAGAGGUCUACGGUAGGUCCGUAUGCCCCGAAUCUUCCGGGCAACACGCGCGCUACAAAGGUGGGGACAAUGGGACCCGACCUCGAAAGGGGGAGGCAAUCCUGAAACCCCAUCGUAGUCUGGAUCGAGGGCUGUAACUCGCCCCCGUGAAAAUGGAUUCCGUAGUAAUCGCGGGUCAACAUCCCGCGGUGAAUGUGCCCCUGCUCUUUGCACACACCGCCCGUCAACUCAUCCGAGUUGGGUCGGAGUGAGGGUGCCUCAUCC